rnacentral:rRNA from 1 species
GGCGAACCGGGGGAACUGAAACAUCUAAGUACCCCGAGGAAAAGAAAUCAACCGAGAUUCCCCCAGUAGCGGCGAGCGAACGGGGAGCAGCCCAGAGCCUGAAUCAGUGUGUGUGUUAGUGGAAGCGUCUGGAAAGGCGCGCGAUACAGGGUGACAGCCCCGUACACAAAAAUGCACAUGCUGUGAGCUCGAUGAGUAGGGCGGGACACGUGGUAUCCUGUCUGAAUAUGGGGGGACCAUCCUCCAAGGCUAAAUACUCCUGACUGACCGAUAGUGAACCAGUACCGUGAGGGAAAGGCGAAAAGAACCCCGGCGAGGGGAGUGAAAAAGAACCUGAAACCGUGUACGUACAAGCAGUGGGAGCACAGAGCAAUCUGUGUGACUGCGUACCUUUUGUAUAAUGGGUCAGCGACUUAUAUUCUGUAGCAAGGUUAACCGAAUAGGGGAGCCGAAGGGAAACCGAGUCUUAACUGGGCGUUAAGUUGCAGGGUAUAGACCCGAAACCCGGUGAUCUAGCCAUGGGCAGGUUGAAGGUUGGGUAACACUAACUGGAGGACCGAACCGACUAAUGUUGAAAAAUUAGCGGAUGACUUGUGGCUGGGGGUGAAAGGCCAAUCAAACCGGGAGAUAGCUGGUUCUCCCCGAAAGCUAUUUAGGUAGCGCCUCGUGAAUUCAUCUCCGGGGGUAGAGCACUGUUUCGGCAAGGGGGUCAUCCCGACUUACCAACCCGAUGCAAACUGCGAAUACCGGAGAAUGUUAUCACGGGAGACACACGGCGGGUGCUAACGUCCGUCGUGAAGAGGGAAACAACCCAGACCGCCAGCUAAGGUCCCAAAGUCAUGGUUAAGUGGGAAACGAUGUGGGAAGGCCCAGACAGCCAGGAUGUUGGCUUAGAAGCAGCCAUCAUUUAAAGAAAGCGUAAUAGCUCACUGGUCGAGUCGGCCUGCGCGGAAGAUGUAACGGGGCUAAACCAUGCACCGAAGCUGCGGCAGCGACGCUUAUGCGUUGUUGGGUA